rnacentral:rRNA from 1 species
CUCGUAGUUGGAUCUCGGUGCCGGUCUGGCGGUCCGCCUCGCCGCGGUCUCACUGCCAGUCCCGGAGCCAUCCCGCCGGCCUUCCCUCGGUGCUCUUUACCGAGUGUCUUGGGUGACCGGAACGUUUACUUUGAACAAAUUAGAGUGCUCCAAGCAGGCGCGUCCCGCCCGCAUAGCCCAGCAUGGAAUAAUGGAAUAGGACCUCGGUUCUAUUUUGUUGGUUUUCGGAACCCGAGGUAAUGAUUAAUAGGGACAGACGGGGGCAUUCGUAUUGCGACGCUAGAGGUGAAAUUCUUGGACCGUCGCAAGACGAACUACUGCGAAAGCAUUUGCCAAGAAUGUUUUCCUUAAUCCAGAACGAAAGUUAUAUGUUCGAAAGCGAUCAAAUACCGCCCUAGUUCUAACCAUAAACGAUGCC